rnacentral:rRNA from 1 species
UACGUAGGGGGCAAGCGUUAUCCGGAUUUACUGGGUGUAAGGGAGCGCAGACGGAACUGCAAGUCUGAUGUGAAAGCACGGGGCUCAACCGCGGGACUGCAUCGGAUACUGUAGAUCUGGAGUGCCGGAGGGGCAAGCGGAAUUCCUGGUGUAGCGGUGAAAUGCGUAGAUAUCAGGAGGAACACCGGCGGCGAAGGCGGCUUGCUGGACGGCAACUGACGUUGAGGCUCGAAAGCGUGGGGAGCAAACAGGAUUAGAUA